CCCCCCUACUGGGAUUAGAUACCCCACUAUGCUUAGCCGUAAACAUUGGCAGAAUAUAUACACCCCCUGCCCGCCUGGAUACUACGAGCAUUAGCUUGAAAUCCAAAGGACUUGGCGGUGCUUUAGACCCCCCUAGAGGAGCCUGUUCUAUAACCGAUAAUCCUCGUUUAACCUCACCUCUCCUUGUUUUCCCCGCCUAUAUACCGCCGUCGUCAGCUAACCCUGUGAAGGAUUAGUAGUUAGCACAAUUGGCAAGACCAAAAACGUCAGGUCGAGGUGUAGCGGAUGGAGAGGGAAGAAAUGGGCUACAUUCUCUUCAAUAGAGCACACGAAUGAUGACCUGAAAACUCAUCUGAAGGUGGAUUUAGCAGUAAGUAGGAAGCAGAGCGUCCCACUGAAGCCGGCUCUAAAGAGU
rnacentral:rRNA from 1 species